rnacentral:rRNA from 1 species
UACGUAGGGAGCAAGCGUUGUCCGGAAUCAUUGGGCGUAAAGGGCUCGUAGGCGGCCAACUAAGUCAGACGUGAAAUCCCUCGGCUUAACCGGGGAACUGCGUCUGAUACUGGAUGGCUUGAGUUUGGGAGAGGGAUGCGGAAUUCCAGGUGUAGCGGUGAAAUGCGUAGAUAUCUGGAGGAACACCGGUGGCGAAGGCGGCAUCCUGGGCCGGCCCUGACGCUGAGACGCGAAGGCGUGGGGAGCGAACGGG